rnacentral:rRNA from 1 species
GACGAAGGGGGCUAGCGUUGUUCGGAAUUAGUGGGCGUAAAGCGCGUGUAGGCGGUUAUCCAAGUCGGGUGUGAAAGCCUUGAGCUUAACUCAAGAAAUGCACUCGGUACUGGGUGACUAGAGGACCGGAGAGGAUAGUGGAAUUCCCAGUGUAGUGGUGAAAUACGUAGAGAUUGGGAAGAACACCAGUGGCGAAGGCGGCUAUCUGGACGGUUUCUGACGCUAAGACGCGAAAGCGUGGGGAGCAAACAGG